rnacentral:rRNA from 1 species
GAGUUUGAUCCAUGGCUCAGGACGAACGCUGGCGGCGUGCUUAACACAUGCAAGUCGAACGAUGAUGCCCAGCUUGCUGGGUGGAUUAGUGGCGAACGGGUGAGUAAUACGUGAGUAACCUGCCCUUGACUCUGGGAUAAGCCUGGGAAACUGGGUCUAAUACUGGAUACUACCUCUUGCCGCAUGGUGGGUGGUGGAAAGGGUUUUACUGGUUUUGGAUGGGCUCACGGCCUAUCAGCUUGUUGGUGGGGUAAUGGCUCACCAAGGCGACGACGGGUAGCCGGCCUGAGAGGGUGACCGGCCACACUGGGACUGAGACACGGCCCAGACUCCUACGGGAGGCAGCAGUGGGGAAUAUUGCACAAUGGGCGGAAGCCUGAUGCAGCGACGCCGCGUGAGGGAUGACGGCCUUCGGGUUGUA